rnacentral:rRNA from 1 species
GACGAACGCUGGCGGCGUGCUUAACACAUGCAAGUCGAACGGAAAGGCCCUGCUUUUGUGGGGUGCUCGAGUGGCGAACGGGUGAGUAACACGUGAGUAACCUGCCCUUGACUUUGGGAUAACUUCAGGAAACUGGGGCUAAUACCGGAUAGGAGCUCCUGCUGCAUGGUGGGGGUUGGAAAGUUUCGGCGGUUGGGGAUGGACUCGCGGCUUAUCGGCUUGUUGGUGGGGUAGUGGCUUACCAAGGCUUUGACGGGUAGCCGGCCUGGGAGGGUGAACGGCGACAUUGGGACUGCGAGAGGGCCCAGAAUCCUACGGGAGGCAGCAGUGGGGAAUAUUGCACAGUGGGCGGAAGCCUGAUGCAGCAACGCCGCGUGCGGGAUGACGGCCUUCGGGUUGUAAACCGCUGUCGCCUGUGACGAAGCGUGAGUGACGGUAAUGGGUAAAGAAGCACCGGCUAACUACGUG